rfam:Termitomyces sp. J132 unplaced genomic scaffold scaffold93, whole genome shotgun sequence.
CACUGCCCAUCACUACUACCAAUUGAAUGGCUUAGUGAGGUCUCUGGAUUGGCUUUGGGGAGCCAGCAAUGGCACCUUAUUGCUGAGAAGCUGAUCAAACUUGGUCAUUUAGAGGAAGUAAAAGUCAUAACAAGGUUUCCAUAGGUGAAUCUGUGGAAG